GAAAUUUUUGGUAUAAGGAUAGCAACAAAUCAACUUGGUACCGAUUUUUGGGCGUAAUGAGGGUGCUAACCCUUCCUCAUGCAUAACCGACUCCCGAACCCGUUUUUUUAUUACAUGAACCAAAUUUAUUUGAAUAGAAUAAAACGUUUUAGUAGGUGGCCCAGUCACACCUAAAUCAAGAGAUUGGUGGCGACUCCACAUUUUUGUUUUCAAAGUCGAUGACCAUUGUUUUCAAAAUAAAAAAGGGUUUCGACAAUUAUAUUUUAUUAAAUGAAAAUAAUCUUCCUUUAGUGAAAUUAAAUAUAUCAAUUCAAUAAACUAUUAAGUUUCUUGUAGAGUGUGCCUAGCAUAUAUUGGACAGUUUGUAGGCACUUAUUGAAGAUAGAUGCAACCAGUCACAAAGUAGGGGCAACGUCACGAUGAGGAGACUCAUGACAUCACGACGAUUUCUCCAAUUAAGCGGCCGUGUUUUGACAACUUAGCCAAUUAAGAGGCGACAAGAUAUAGCCGUAGGAUGAGUUUUAGAAAGGGUUUUGGGAUAGCUAUGAAGAGAACUUUGUACCCUAGUUAGGGCUUUAUAUUUGGAGUUUAAGUUUUGUACAUCUAGUACAUUUAGGUUUAUUUUCUAUAUGGAGUACUCUUGUUUGUUUACUCAUCUAGUAAAAAGCUAAAAUCUCCUUUGCCCGUGA